GAGUUUUCUAAAAGGAGAGAAGGUUAGCAUUCCCCUUGACAAGGAUGGAAGAGGCCCUUGGGCCUAAAAACACACGUAUGGCUAAGGCAUUGCCACCUACUUCAUGACAUUUAAUCACUGUUUUCA